rnacentral:rRNA from 1 species
UACGUAGGGGGCAAGCGUUGUCCGGAUUUAUUGGGCGUAAAGAGCGUGUAGGCGGCCAGGCAGGUCCGCUGUGAAAACUCGAGGCUCAACCUCGAGAUGUCGGCGGAAACCGUCUGGCUAGAGUCCGGAAGAGGAGAGUGGAAUUCCUGGUGUAGCGGUGAAAUGCGCAGAUAUCAGGAAGAACACCUAUGGCGAAGGCAGCUCUCUGGGACGGUACUGACGCUGAGACGCGAAAGCGUGGGGAGCAAACAGG